rnacentral:rRNA from 1 species
AACGUAGGAGACAAACGUUAUCCGGAGUUACUGGGCGUAAAGGGCGCGUAGGCGGCCACGACAAGUCAGCUGUGAAAUCUCCGGGCUUAACCCGGAACGGUCAGCUGAUACUGUCGGGCUAGAGUGCAGAAGGGGGCAACUGGAAUUCUCGGUGUAGCGGUGAAAUGCGUAGAUAUCGGGAGGAAUACCUAUGGCGAAAGCAGGCUACUGGACCAUCACUGACGCUGAUCUGCGAAAGCUAGGGGAGCAAACAGG